rnacentral:rRNA from 2 species
GGUUUUUACUUAGAUUUGGGUGGCGGACGGGUGAGUAACGCGUAAAGAACUUGCCUCACAGCUAGGGACAACAUUUAGAAAUGAAUGCUAAUACCUGAUAUUAUGAUUUUAAGGCAUCUUAGAAUUAUGAAAGCUAUAUGCACUGUGAGAGAGCUUUGCGUCCCAUUAGCUAGUUGGAGAGGUAACAGCUCACCAAGGCGAUGAUGGGUAGCCGGCCUGAGAGGGUGAACGGCCACAAGGGGACUGAGACACGGCCCUUACUCCUACGGGAGGCAGCAGUGGGGAAUAUUGGACAAUGGACCGAGAGUCUGAUCCAGCAAUUCUGUGUGCACGAUGAAGUUUUUCGGAAUGUAAAGUGCUUUCAGUUGGGAAGAAAUAAAUGACGGUACCAACAGAAGAAGUGACGGCUAAAUACGUGCCAGCAGCCGCGGUAAUACGUAUGUCACGAGCGUUAUCCGGAUUUAUUGGGCGUAAAGCGCGUCUAGGUGGUUAUGUAAGUCUGAUGUGAAAAUGCAGGGCUCAACUCUGUAUUGCGUUGGAAACUGUAUAACUAGAGUACUGGAGAGGUAAGCGGAACUACAAGUGUAGAGGUGAAAUUCGUAGAUAUUUGUAGGAAUGCCGAUGGGGAAGCCAGCUUACUGGACAGAUACUGACGCUAAAGCGCGAAAGCGUGGGUAGCAAACAGGAUUAGAUACCCUGGUAGUCCACGCUGUAAACGAUGAUUACU